rnacentral:rRNA from 1 species
GGUAGUCCACGCCGUAAACGAUGUCGACUUGGAGGUCGUGCCCUUGAGGCGUGGCUUCCGGAGCUAACGCGUUAAGUCGACCGCCUGGGGAGUACGGCCGCAAAGUUAAAACUCAAAUGAAUUGACGGGGGCCCGCACAAGCGGUGGAGCAUGUGGUUUAAUUCGAUGCAACGCGAAGAACCAUACCUACUCUUGACAUCCAGAGAACCUUCCAGAGAUGGAUUGGUGCCUUCGGGAACUCUGAGACAGGUGCUGCAUGGCUGUCGUCAGCUCGUGUUGUGAAAUGUUGGGUUAGGUCCCGCAACGAGCGCAACCCUUAUCCUUUGUUGCCAGCGGUUAGGCCGGGAACUCAAAGGAGACUGCCAGUGAUAAACUGGAGGAAGGUGGGGAUGACGUCAAGUCAUCAUGGCCCUUACGAGUAGGGCUACACACGUGCUACAAUGGCGCAUACAAAGAGAAGCGACCUCACGAGAGCGAGCGGACCUCAUAAAGUGCGUCGUAGUCCGGAUUGGAGUCUGCAACUCGACUCCAUGAAGUCGGAAUCGCUAGUAAUCGUAGAUCAGAAUGCUACGGUGAAUACGUUCCCGGGCCUUGUACACACCGCCCGUCACACCAUGGGAGUGGGUUGCAAAAGAAGUAGGUAGCUUAACCUUCGGGAGGGCGCUUACCACUUUGUGAUUCAUGACUGGGGUGAAGUCGUAACAAGGUAACCGUAGGGGAACCUGC